CAAUAGCGUAUAUUAAAGUUGCUGCGUUUAAAAAGCUCGUAGUUGGAUCUCAGUCUCGAUCGAGCGGUCCGUCUUCCGGCGGCACUGCGCGAAUCGGACAUUCCGCCGCGUUUCUCUUCAUGCUCUUCACUGAGUGUGGAGGGAGAGUGGCAAUUUUACUUUGAAAAAAUUAGAGUGCUCAAAGCAGGCCACCGCCUGAAUAGUCGUGCAUGGAAUGAUGGAAUAGGGCCUCGGUUCUAUUUUGUUGGUUUCCGGAACUCGAGGUAAUGAUUAAUAGGGACGGACGGGGGCAUUUGUAUUGCGACGUUAGAGGUGAAAUUCUUAGAUCGUCGCAAGACAAACUACUGCGAAAGCAUUUGCCAAGAAUGUUUUCAUUAAUCAAGAACGAAAGUCAGAGGUU
rnacentral:rRNA from 3 species